rnacentral:misc_RNA from 1 species
GCUCUUUUCCAGAUCCUAAACUAGCUAACACGCUUUCUCUAUCACGAUGUGCAUAUGGAUCAAGAGCAAAAACAGGAACCAAAUACACAUACCUACGUUUAUCACAAAACUUCUUAGCACUGAACGCAUUCGUUACACGUUUAAACCCAAAGAUCCGGAUUUGAGGAACGAGAAUGGAGUUAAGCCGAUCAAUAAAACCAGGCGGAUCGACGUAAAACCGACCCGAAACAACUUGACCGACGGCGCUAACGCCCUUAUCAGUACGAGCAGAACGAGCCCACUCGUACUUUCUGGGUUGACAUUUAUCAUGGUCAG